GUGUCUAUAGUCAAGUGACUUCUAUUAGUGGCCUAAAACGUGCUGCCUAAUUCCAGAGAGAGGACAAAAGCUGAAGGCUUUUCUUUUGUUCUUUGAUUCUUUUUUCUGGGCCCACUUCAAAAUCUCUGCCAGCACACAAUUGAAGCUUCGAAAUCCUGUUUUAGUUUCAGUUACACUUUCAGUUUCAGUUUCAGCGCCCCCAGACAAUUGCUCAAACAUUAAAUGGGUUGGCCGGACUCUGCCGGACACUGCCUGAAGGGACGGGACGGGACGGACCCACAAAGGAUACUCCAGAUAUGUCGUUGGCAGCUACUGAACACAGUGACAGAGCUGGACAAGACCACUCUCGCACAGUGGACACACUGGACACACACAACAAAGGAUGCAGCACUAUCAUCAUCUGCCAGACAUCCAGAGAUCCAGACAGUUCAAACAAUUGCUGUCAGGCAACAAAGACCCAGCAAAUACUAUAAUUUGUCUUUUGUUUCUCCAGUCACACUGCACACACACACACACAUUUAUAUAUAUUUAUGAAAUAUGAUAGAAUCUGAUUUAGUGCAGGAAUCUUAACCGGGAUUAAAUUGUAUCUGCUCGAAUGGCUCGGCAAGAAAACACUACUAAAACAAUGGAUAUGCUAUGGAUGAUGCUCUACUUAAAGGUACUUACAUCUUGCCGACUAGGAAAAGAGGAGAUUGUGUCAAUCUAUAUGGUAUUUGGGAUACAUUGGGGACAAAGCGGUGCGGAAGAUGAAGAUAUUUUGACCAAAUUUUGAUCAACUUUCCCGCAGCUUGGAUCAUAGGAGGGAACCUUCCUUUAGC
rnacentral:lncRNA from 1 species